GAUAGCUCGUUGAAAAGGGAAUAAAAAAAAGAAUAUGACUAACUAUUUACUUUCGCGAUUUGAUUAGGUAGGAAGCUAGAAAGAAAUAAAAAUCGAAUUUUUCGACAAAGUUAUUUUAUUCUAAGUAUUGUUGGAAAUAUUGCCCAUAUUAUCUUGAUAAAAUCUUAAUCUAAAAUAAAAUUCAUUUUUUGACAUUACGAAUCAUAUCUGGAAUUAUUAAGUCGUUGCCUAAGUUUAAUUUUUUAGUCUUGUUAUGUAAACUUUCGUUUUUAGGUGACACCAAAGGAAAUAAUGCAGAGGAUUAAGGUCCGGUGAUCUUGGCGCUUAUUCAAUGGUACCUCUUCUUCCUUCCUAUCCAGCGGUUUGGAAAAACUUCACUUAAAUAGUGUCGCACGUUUUAGGCGUAAUGAGGCGAAGCCCCAUCCUGCUGAAACCAUAUUCCAUCAUCAUGAAGAUCUGCUUCUGUUUGAUAAGGAAAUAAAGCAGUCAAAGCCGGCAUAAGCUCUUGUUGCAAAAAAUUCAAAUAUGUAGUGCUAUUUAAGUUAGCUGGAAGGUAUAUUGGGCCAAUGACUUGGUCGCCAAUUAUGCCUGCCCAAACAUUAAGUUUUUGCUGACGCUGAGUAUGUUUUUCUCGUAUCUCGGUUUUCUGUGGACCAAUAUCGAUAGUUCUGUUUAUUGACUUCACCAUUGAAUGCAAAAGUACACUCAUCUGUAAAAAGUAUCCAAUCCAAAUCUCCUAUUGGAGAAAAAUUCUCCAAAUCUCCUAAAAGAGCCUGAUGGAGGCCUAUAUAAGGUUAAUAAAUAUAUCUUGUAUUUGGCAAUAUACACUCAGCAUGGAACAAUUUGUUCCUGAAUGGACAGAUCUUUUACCUUAUGAAACUCUUUAAAAAGCAUAUUUUUAUUUAUUAAAAUAGCAACUCUCCCGCCCUUACAGUUUUUUCGGAAGAAGGCAGAUGCUGGCAAAAGAUUGGAGAUUCUUAAAGACCUGCAUUCCUGAUCAGCCAGACAAAGUAGAUCCGGCCCAAUCCCCGUCAUGAAAGCCUCCAGCUCAUUAAUCUUAUUUUUUUAUUGACAAAACAUUAAUAAAUAAAAGCUUAAAACUAAAUUCAGAAUAAAAUGCAUUGGUACAAUUUAUGCUAUUUUUUCUUGAGCAGAACUUACUUUUUUCCAAUGAUAAGCCUCCAUAAACCUCAUUUAAAGCUGGUUUGAUAGAUUGGGGCACUGCACUGGGUUUAUAAAAUGGUUAAUUAGUACACCAUUUGGCCAAAGUUCAGCGUUCAUGAAAGCAACCUUGUGAUCUGUAGGAGAUCCCACCUUAAAUGAACUACCGUGGUUGUCUUUCUUGGUUCACAGCUUAUAGCACUGAAUUUGUAACUUGUAACUUUCAUUUGUAACUUGUAAUUGGUCUAAAUAUUGCCCGACAGUCUUGGCUUCUUUCUUGGAUAGAGACCCGAUAUAAAUAUCCACUCCACCGGGCAUGAAAUUGUGGCUUUUGGGGUGCAGUCAUUACUUCUGCCUAAUUUUGGGACGGGCCUAGUUUCCUUUAAGGGCUCUUCUUGAUUUUGUUUGUUUGUUGUUGCAUCAUCAUUAGUUAAGGUAAAUACUUCAUCUGUCUCUUCUUCUUGUGCCACCGCGUUUACCAAGGUGCUUACUUGAAAAGUACGGGAUUGAGUAGCCACGCUACGUUAAUUUUGUGUCGCUACAGUGACGUCAGUUGUGGGUGGUUAUCGCGAUCUCUGUGUUUAGAAGAACGAAGUGUACACACUGGAUUGACUGCUUUUUUUUGUAUGUUAGUAGUUUCCUGCGCGACAGGAUUAUCCGUGAUCUGUGUUAUUUUUGACUGUGGGAACUAUGAAAGGAUUUUGACAUUGUUUACGAUAGAGAGUUUUGUUAUUGGAAUUUUCAUACCUUGAUAGUUUUUCUCAAAGCAGAGCAAUUUUCCUCCAAUAGCCUGUUUUGCUUUCAAGCUCUUGAUUUAGCUUUUUUAGUUAGGAAAUUUCUAUAUCUUUCAACUCUACCUGCUGGUCAUUCUAAUUAGUUGUUUUAGUUGUCAUGGCGGCUCGAUCUUUAUCGUGGCAAUCAAAACAGUUAAGUCUCGUUUUAGUAACAAGUCGUCGUUAAUAACAAGAACUGAACUGUUCAAGCUGAAAAGACAAAUGACCAUUGCGCUUUGCUUAAAAAUAGCCAGUUUGCAUCUGGUUUUUUAUCAGAUGCAGAUAUUUUUUAAUCAGAUGUACAGAAUUACUCCAGAAUAUCACAAUUAUUUCAAGGGACAGGAUACAAAAAAGUUAUUAGAAAAGCGGAGCAUUCUGAAGUUAUAAUAGCAUUAUAUAACUAGGUUUUG
rnacentral:lncRNA from 1 species